rnacentral:rRNA from 1 species
CGGCAACNGCUCAAUUUGAAAUCUGGCCCCCAGGGCCCGAGUUGUAAUUUGCAGAGGAUGCUUUUGGCGCGGUGCCUUCCGAGUUCCCUGGAACGGGACGCCAUAGAGGGUGAGAGCCCCGUCUGGUCGGACGCCUAGCCUGUGUAAAGCUCCUUCGACGAGUCGAGUAGUUUGGGAAUGCUGCUCUAAAUGGGAGGUAUAUGUCUUCUAAAGCUAAAUACCGGCCAGAGACCGAUAGCGCACAAGUAGAGUGAUCGAAAGAUGAAAAGUACUUUGAAAAGAGGGUUAAAUAGUACGUGAAAUUGUUGAAAGGGAAGCGCUUGUGACCAGACUUGGGCCCGGUGGAUCAUCCAGCGUUCUCGCUGGUGCACUCCCCCGGGUUCAGGCCNUUCUCAGUUCNCCGCAGGGGAAAAAGGCUUCGGGAACNUGGCUCC